rnacentral:rRNA from 1 species
GGGUCAGUAGGUUGGUCGUGCCACCGGUACGUACUGGUCUCACUGAUUCCUCCUUCCUGAAGAACCGUAAUGCCAUUAAUUUGGUGUUGCGGGGAAACAGGACUGUUACUUUGAAAAAAUUAGAGUUUUUAAAGCAAGCUAACUAUUGAAUACAUUAGCAUGGAAUAAUGAAAUAGGACGAUCGAUCCUAUUUUGUUGGUUUCUAGGAAUGACGUA